UACGAGGGGGGCGAGCGUUGUUCGGAAUUAUUGGGCGUAAAGGGUGCGUAGGCGGUUUGAUAAGUCUGAUGUGAAAUCUAUGGGCUCAACCCAUAGCCUGCAUUAGAAACUGUCGGGCUUGAGUAUGGGAGAGGUGAGUGGAAUUUCCGGUGUAGCGGUGGAAUGCGUAGAGAUCCGGAAGAACACCGGUGGCGAAGGCGGUUAGCUGGGCAGUUGCUGACACUGAGGCGCGACAGCGUGGGGAGCAAACAGG
rnacentral:rRNA from 1 species